rnacentral:tRNA from 1 species
ACCUACUAUAGUUUAUAAAAACAUUGAAUUGCAAGUUCAAAAAUGAAAUUAUAUUUCUAGUAAGUU